GGGGUUCAUAAUCAGAGGAACAGAUGAUAAAGAUUUCCAACGAAUUCUGCGAGAACAACCGAAGAAAUUGAUGGAUGACCUCUUCAAUUUAGCAUAAAUAGAAUCUGAGGCACAUGAAGGAACAUAAUUGAUUCUGAGCUCAAGGUUACAGCCCAAUACGAACUGCAGAGAACUUGCAAUCAACUUCCACGACUUCUCAGCCCUACUUACAUAGUCUCGAUGCUGGAACUCCAGCUCCGCAACUGCACGGCCUGAAAAUUGGAAUUCAUUGGAUUACUUCGUACAUACUAAGAACUUUGAGAAGAAACAUUUCACAAGUAUAAAAGUAUAAUUUUUCUUCCCUAAAAGCAAAAGCUAG
rnacentral:sRNA from 1 species